rnacentral:rRNA from 1 species
UACGUAGGCAGCAAGCGUUGUUCGGAAUUACUGGGCGUAAAGAGUAUGUAGGCGGUGUUCUAAGUCUGUUGUGAAAUCUCCCGGCUCAACUGGGAGGGUGCGGCGGAGACUGGAAUGCUAGAGUAUGGGAGAGGUAAGCGGAAUUCCUGGUGUAGCGGUGAAAUGCGUAGAUAUCAGGAGGAACACCUGUGGUGUAGACAGCUUACUGGACCAUGACUGACGCUGAGACACGAAAGCGUGGGUAGCAAACAG